rnacentral:lncRNA from 1 species
AAGAAUUAUCGCAUGCAUUCAGUUCUUAAAUUUGGUUUACUUUGUUUAAGGAACCAUAUUUUUUAUGAUGAUGAGCAAACAAAGUGAUAAAAUUUUUCCCCUUUUUUCUUUUUUUAAUAGGCAAAUGAUAAAUUUUGUUUUUUUGUUUUUUUGUUUUUGCUAGCUGGGUGACCACAAUGAAGAGAUUCAAGCUCCUCAAACCCCAAAUAAGGAUCAAAACAACUCUAUGCCGCAAAUUGAAAUAUAAAACAACCCAACACCAACUGAAAAUGAAAACAACACUGCAAAAUCAGGUUCAACUCAAGUUGGUGUAAAUAAAAGGAAAGGUAGAUCUCCAGCUUGGGAACAAAAGUAGAAUUGCCAUCACAACGAAUAUGUGGACAUCGAAUAAUCAAAAGAGACAAUUCAUGACUAUCACAUUAC